rnacentral:rRNA from 1 species
UCGCUACUACCGAUUGAGUGUUUUAGUGAGGUCCUCGGAUUGCUUGCCGGGCGGUUAGCGCUGCCUAGUUGGCGAAAAGACGACCAAACUGUAGCACUUAGAGGAAGUAA